AAACUUCCAAAUAUUGAAUUAUAAGCAGCCCACAGUCCAAAAGAGGGGUUGGAGAGAGGCAGCUGGAGCUGACCGUGGUCAUCCUUCCAUAGCAGUUGUGGUCCUUGGAAAAGUUUUCUGGUGGGAGACAAAAAUCUGCCUUCCUGAAAUUUCCACCCUGUGGUUCCAGCCUGCUGGCUGCAGCAGCCAUUCUGAAAGCAGAGAUUUGCCCUUGGCUCCCUGAAUAUCACUUUCUGGGGUUGAGAGGUCACAUGCUGUGGAGGAAGCCAGACGCCAUGUUGUGAAGGCACGCAAACAGCCUACAGAGGUCCACAUGGUGA
rnacentral:lncRNA from 1 species